AAAUAGAGUCCUAUUUGAAAAUUACCUUGGCAUGUUUUAAAUUUGGGCCUAUUAAACAAUGUUGUGACUAAACAUACUUAAAUUAAACCAAUGAUUUCAUUAAUGUUAUUUUAGUUGUUUUUAAAUAUAAUCUUACAUAAUCAUUAGCUUAAACCUAUCUAAUAUGUGUUUCCAGCGGAAAACUCAUCGUAGUCGUCGUCUGGAGCUAGAGUAAAAAAGCCAUGAGUAGUGAAAAGUAAAAUUAGAGAGUAAUGAAGGUGAGAUGGUGUUAAACCAUGAAGAUGAUGAAAGCGAAUCUCAAGAGUUGGAACUACAUCUGUGCUUUUGUAUGUAAAGAUACAGACUAUAAGAGUACAUGCCAAGAUUCAGGCACAAGCCUGAUCAGUGGUAAGAGUACUGGAAAGACAUCAAGAAGCUGGAGCGUGGUGUACAUGCUCUGUCCAGAAUCGAAUAUAUGACAUGAUAAAGAGAGGAAGUUUACAAACCAAGUCUGUUAAACUUUUGAUUCUUGAUGAAUCAAAUGAAAUGCUGAGCAACGGUUUUGAAAAACCACAUUUACGAUGCUUACAGAUACGAUGUUCAGAUUUGUUUUAUUUCUGCUACUUUCCUCAAAAGAUUCUGGAGUUGACAAACAAGUUUAUCAUGGAUCCUGAGAGAAAACUUGUGAAGCGUGAUGAGUUGACACUUGAAGGAAUCAAACAAUAUUAUAUAGAUGUUGGGGAAGAAGAGUGGAAGUUUUUUUUUUUUUUUUGCUAAAAGAAGAAUGGAAGUUUGAUACACUUCGUGAUCUUUAUGGGCGGCUAUUAUCAAAAGCUAUUAUCUUCUGCAACACAAGAAAGGUGAUUUAGCUUACUGAGAACGUGGGGAGUAGUAAUUUUGUAGUGUCAUCAAUGUAUGGAGACAAACAUCAAAAAGAGAGAUGGAAUCAUGAACGGAUCUGGUCUUUUAAAAGUCGCUUCUCAAGCUCCCACUACCCUUCGAUGGCAAUGGACAGUCCAGAGAUAAGUUUCUUCACGCAUUACCAUCUCGGUUCAAGCUCGGGUUAUUCAGACAUGUCUGAGCGUCUUUUCAUGUUUGGUGAUUGUGGAGGUGGUGUAGCUGGUCAGAUUGGUCAUUCUCUUGGUUCCAAACAAGAAGUGGAAAGUGUAGAUAGUAGAGUUUGCCAAGUCUAAGAACAUGUGAGAACAAAGACAAUACUUUGUACUAUUAUUUGUUAGAAAAAAAUAAUAUCCGCGCAUCUGCGCGGGUCAAUCUCUA